GACGAACGCUGGCGGCGUGCCUAACACAUGCAAGUCGAACGGAACUGUUUUGAAAGAUUUCUUCGGAAUGAAUUUGAUUUAGUUUAGUGGCGGACGGGUGAGUAACGCGUGAGUAACCUGCCUUCAAGAGGGGAAUAACAUUCUGAAAAGAAUGCUAAUACCGCAUGACAUAUCGGAACCACAUGGUUUUGAUAUCAAAGAUUUUAUCGCUUGAAGAUGGACUCGCGUCCGAUUAGUUAGUUGGUGAGGUAACGGCUCACCAAGACCGCGAUCGGUAGCCGGGAUGGGGGGGUGGAACGGCACCUUUGGACUGGGGCCCCGCCCCGAACUCCUCCGGAGGGCGGAGUGGGGGAUAAUGCGCCAUGGGGGCAACCCUGACGCAGCAACGCCGCGUGAAGGAUGAAGGUUUUCGGAUUGUAAACUUCUUUUAUUAAGGACGAAAAAUGACGGUACUUAAUGAAUAAGCUCCGGCUAACUACGU
rnacentral:rRNA from 1 species